AUGGUACUAAGGACUCUUAGCCCCAAUUCAGUUGUUCGUUCCGGAAAUAUGUUGGAGAAAUUUCCACUUCUUGUAGAAAAACUAAAGAAAAUAGAGAAGUUACCCACGUUAUUUUUUAUAUUCAAUGUAAAUUAUGUAGAAAAAUGUGCUAGGCAUGUACACAUUUUCUUAAAGGAGAAGCAAAAGAAGAAAAGGCCUCCCAAAGCUGAUGAAGAAGCUCAGAAGUUGGCUGGCAAACUUCAAAAAGUUAACAAAUUCAUUAAGAAACAAAAGAUAUUAGAUGAAAAAAGCCAGAUAAGCAUGAAAAUAUUGAACCAAAGCCUAAUAUAUAUAGCUGAGCAUAAUUGUCUACUGAAAAGUCUGGAGAAGAACCUGGAAAUUCCUCAGGACUGCACAUACACUGAUCAAAAAGUGAUGGAUGAUGAGGUGGUGACAGCUACCGGAACACUUGCUUUAGGAAUCAACAUGCCUUGUAGAUCUGUUGUUUUUGCCCAAAACUCAGUCUAUCUGGAUGCUUUAAAUUACAGACAGAUGUCUGGUCGUGCUGGAAGACGGGGGCAAGACCUGCUGGGAGAUGUAUAUUUCUUUGAUAUUCCUCUGCCCAAAGUAGGAAAACUGAUAAAAUCCAAAGUUCCUGAGCUCAAAGGACAGUUCCCUCUCAAGAUAACCCUGAUUCUGCGACUCAUGCUGCUGGCUUCCAAGGCAGAUGACCUAGAGGAUGGCCAGGCAAAGGUAUCAUCCUGGGUGCCACCUGAAGCAGACCUUGGCCACUGGUCUGGCUGCAGGCGCUGUCCAUGCUAAAGCAUUCGCUGCUGUCCUUCAAACAACCCAGAGCCAUGGAGAUGUUAAAACUUUACUUUUUAUUUUUUUGCAGUUCUUGGUGAAGCAGGUAUGACUGUGUUUUGCUUUUUUGUGAAAUACCUUUGUUACUAUCUAAAUUGUCUUUCCAUGCUAAACUAACUAUAAUAUCUAGACAGUUAUAGCCAAUGACCAAUGUUAUCGACAAUUCAGUCAAUAAACAAAGUUAA
rnacentral:lncRNA from 1 species